CGCAUGCACUGAUUUUCCUGAGCAAUCGUAGCCAGCUUACUUUCUUCACUUUCCUAACGAACCCUUUGAAAUAGAGGACUUCAGAAGCAAUGGGAAAUGGGGCAGGGGCUUGGUCCCCGAAGAGAUGGCUCUGCUCUCUAUGCUAGCGGUUUUUACAAGAGUGCAGGGGAAAUGGGUAAUUGGCCCAGAGUCACACACUCCUGACUCACGAAGUUGCUGUGAUCACUCCUGGCUUCCCCCAAACAAGCACUUCUCUCUCUACUCACUGGAACAAACGGAAGUCUCCAACAGUGGUGAACAGGACCCCUUUCAUCUCGAGGCUUGGCUGAAGCAAGCAGCCAGUAUUCCUGACACACUGAGGUCUCUUGUCUGAUGUCCUCCCGUUGUUGGAUGAAGCUCUGCUUUGAAAAAACUGCCAGGAGCAGGGUAAGAAGUGUGAGCGCUGAGCCUGUCAGAAGCUGAGGUUUCUUUUUUGCACCUCGCCAUGCCGAAUACCUGAACAUUUUUUUUUUUUUUUUUGCAAACGGAACAGUGUACGCUCUCUGUUACCGAUGGUGGAGGAGGGGAGUCUUUCUUUCCCCCCUUCAUACUUGUCUGAUGCCAUUCAGGGUCGCCCCAUCUGGGAUACUAUAGAACGCUGUGCUCCCUCUCCUCAGUGUGCUCUUUGUUCACCGUUACUCCAGAAGACGCACGAAGACAAGUCACACGAAGUAAGAGCAUUCCAGGCUUGGAUGGCUGUGUAGGCCAGAGCUUUCAUGACUUCAAAGGAAAAGUUGAUCCUUACUGGGUGCUGCAGCACAGAGUCCUAGAAACAAACAAACAAACAAACAAAAGACUGAGUGGCUGCCUCCUCUUCAGUGAGAUUCCAUUAACCUUAAUACCAACCUAAGUAACAAUGACAGCAGCAAAAGAAUUUGUGGUCGCUUUAGCAAACAGACAAUGCAAAAGAGACAUUACUCUGAAGAGAACUGCUCCUCCGAAUCCUGAUCUAGAAAGCCCUCACAGGACAGGUUAAGCCUUCCUUUGGGUGAGAGACUCUCCUAUUGGAACUGAUAAAAUACUCAGUCAUGUUGGAGAAGUCCGUGUGGAAGAAACUAAAACGCCUUAAGAAUUGUGACUGGCUUCUUAGACUUAGGCUAUGGCCUCCAAUGGACAGAUAGCAAAGCAAGAAAAAAAUCCACGAGAAACAGACCUUCACCAACAACCUGCGCGAGCACCAGCCAAGCCCGCAGAAGAAAUGACUGCAGUCUGAUGCACUGGGGCGACGUCCCAGCUAAGGUUUGCCACGCUUGGACUUCAAACCUACAGAGUGAGGUUGAUGUUAUCUCAAGUGGCUUCACUUGGCAAUUCUUUGUUUCACAACAAUAAAGAAUGAGUACAUCUUCUAUAA